GGGUGGUAAGGUUGGAUGUCACAAAAUAUACAUCCUACUGUGAUGCAUCAUAAGGUACUUCUAAAAAAGGUUAUACAUCCUACUAUGAUGCAUCAAAAGGUUGUAGUUCUCAUAAAGCUAGUCCUAAAAAAGGUUGUACAUAAUUUUUCAUAUUUGAAUUUAGUCAUUCAGUCUUAAUAUGCUUUGCCACAUUGGAGGAUGACAAUUGAGUGGAUUAUAGAGGGGCUUUGUAACAGGUCCAAGUUUAAGUCAUCAGGCAUCCUCUUGGCUGGAGCUACAACUUGAAGGUUGUCUGGAUCAUGGUUAGUAGUGA
rnacentral:lncRNA from 1 species